rnacentral:rRNA from 1 species
GAUGAACGCUGGCGGCGUGCCUAAUACAUGCAAGUCGAGCGAACAGACGAGGAGCUUGCUCCUCUGACGUUAGCGGCGGACGGGUGAGUAACACGUGGAUACCCUACCUAUAAGACUGGGAAAACUUCGGGAAACCGGAGCUAAUACCGGAGAAUAUAUUGAACCGCAUGGGUCAAUAGUGAAAGACGGUUUUGCUGUCACUUAUAGAUGGAUCCGCGCCGCAUUAGCUAGUUGGUAAGGUAACGGCUUACCAAGGCAACGAUGCGUAGCCGACCUGAGAGGGUGAUCGGCCACACUGGAACUGAGACACGGUCCAGACUCCUACGGGAGGCAGCAGUAGGGAAUCUUCCGCAAUGGGCGAAAGCCUGACGGAGCAACGCCGCGUGAGUGAUGAAGGUCUUCGGAUCGUAAAACUCUGUUAUUAGGGAAGAACAAAUGUGUAAGUAACUAUGCACGUCUUGACGGUACCUAAUCAGAAAGCCACGGCUAACUACGUG